CACGUAGGGCGCAAGCGUUGUCCGGAAUUAUUGGGCGUAAAGAGCUCGUAGGCGGUCUGUUGCGUCCGCUGUGAAAACCCGGGGCUUAACCCCUGGCUUGCAGUGGAUACGGACAGACUAGAGGUAGGUAGGGGAGAAUGGAAUUCCCGGUGUAGCGGUGAAAUGCGCAGAUAUCGGGAGGAACACCGGUGGCGAAGGCGGUUCUCUGGGCCUUACCUGACGCUGAGGCACGAAGGCCAGGGGGAGCGAAAGCGGGG
rnacentral:rRNA from 1 species